rnacentral:tRNA from 1 species
GGGCCCGUAGCUCAGCUGGUAGAGCGCCGCGCUUACACCGCGGAUGUCGUCGGUUCGAGACCGGCCGGGCCCA